rnacentral:lncRNA from 1 species
AACAUCAUGCAUUUCCUUAAAUCUAAGCUCCCUCUCUCUUACAGAAAGGAUCAUAGUCCCUUUGCUUUGCAAUUAUAGAAAUUCUGCUUCUUUCGACACACUUAUGAUUUAUUUGGAAAAACAUAUUUUAUUGUUAUUGGUCACUUUACAUUCCCUUUCCCCCCAUGGAAAUUAUGAUACAUUUUACUUAUUUUUAUUAGAGCCACCCUUAUUUGCACCCUUUUUCCUACCUAACAAAGCAUUAGCACACCAAAAAGGGAAGUCGUGGUGGCCAUGGUGAUGCCCUCUCCACAUCCCCUUUCUAAAAAGUACUUGCUGCCCCUUUAAGAAAGUUUGUUGUCUCAGCUGUGAGAGAUGCUUUGGCAGACAAGCUUCAGCUGGCAGCACCUUCAAGGAUGGCUUCAGCUCCACAGAACUUCCUCACCGAAGGUCGUGUCCUUCAGAGGGUAGCCCACAUCAAAUGACGGUGGAGGAGGGUAGACAUCUGUCAGACCAUUUCAGCCCAACAAAGGACAACUGUAAUGGGUUGUUUUAGCCCAAGCUUCCGCAUGAAGUUGGAACUGCUCCUACUGCCAGAUCCUUCUUCCUGCCUCCCCUUUCCAUGAGCGCUGAUGAGUCUUAGAGUCCAUCUCAGCGUCCUUCCCGGAGAACCCGACUCGUGAGACAUGGGUGGUUAAAAACACAUCUCUACAUCAGUAAUGACCUAGCUUCUCCACGUACUCAAGGAGGAUCAGGAGUAUGACUACAUUUCACUGUGCAGUGCCCCAAGGUCUUUCCAAGAUUCCACAGAAGGUGCUUGAGUGAAAUCAGUCGUAUAUGCAUUUGCUUUGUUUGGUCCUGCACAUAUUUUUAGGAAUUUGAAUGGGGAAAAAUCAUCACCUUAAGGAAAAAGUCAGAGCUACACAAUACUUUAUCACUGUCAGUAUCGUUUUCAUCUGACGAUUGGGCCUGCUUUGCUCCCCAAACGCCAGUGCCUAACCAGGUUCAACGAAUUUGCUGCUAUCCUGAGACUGAUUCUCAGUAGACACAAAGGACUGGCGCACACACUAUCAUAUGGCAGGAUGCGAUGGAAUGGGAAGGUCCUCAUUAUUUCCAAGAUAUUGUCCUAACAAUUGCUGGGUGCCCUCAAGAUUCUCCAAUGCCUCCAAUAUGUAAGCCUCAGGCCUAAGGGGAAACUACACAAUUCUGGACCAUGGCGGGGGAGUGAACUCAGCUGGAACAGGUUAAAAAUCCUACUCAAUCUCCAUGACUGAGUGACAAAUCCAGGAGAAAGUGAGGUUAAUCCAGCCACAGUCAGAAUGCCUCCUCUGAGUGUGUAUAAACCAGUGAAAUGUGCAGGAGGCCUGGGAAGCAGCGGCGAGGUCCAGCGAAAAUAAUCAUCACUCUUCACGCCGAGAGGCAACAAGCACUGCAGGUGAGAUAAAGUUCCAGACUUUAAAUCCGUCCUCAGUGCAGCAGGCCUGCGGCCACACUUCCCCAGAGAAGGCGCCUUGUCCAUCACUACAAUCAGCUCCACCAAAGCAUUUUAUCCAUUUAUUUAUUUUCAAGUUGUCAACGACGUUUUUGAAAGCAAAGGCAGACAAAGCUUCUUCUAUACAGCCUGAGGGAUCUGUAUUCCUUUUAACCAAAAUGGCCUGCAGACAUUUUUGCAAAACUAAUAAAAAAGCUCUAAGUACCAGCAUGUGGGCUGAACCAAAAUAAGGCACAAGUGUACAUACCAGUGUAGUACGAUGAAAUGUGAAAUUUAGAAAAGAAAAAAACUAACGGGAGUAGAGAGGCUAGAUAGAAUAUAGUAACGUAUUAUUGCACAAAUUCAUUCCCAU